rnacentral:rRNA from 1 species
GACGAACGCUGGCGGCGUGCCUAAUACAUGCAAGUAGAACGCUGAAGGAGGAGCUUGCUUCUCUGGAUGAGUUGCGAACGGGUGGGUAACGCGUAGGUAACCUGCCUGGUAGCGGGGGAUAACUAUUGGAAACGAUAGCUAAUACCGCAUAAUAGCAGUUAUUGCAUGAUAACUGUUUGAAAGGUGCAAUUGCACCACUACCAGAUGGACCUGCGUUGUAUUAGCUAGUUGGUGGGGUAACGGCUCACCAAGGCGACGAUACAUAGCCGACCUGAGAGGGUGAUCGGCCACACUGGGACUGAGACACGGCCCAGACUCCUACGGGAGGCAGCAGUAGGGAAUCUUCGGCAAUAGACGGAAGUCUGACCGAGCAACGCCGCGUGAGUGAAGAAGGGUUUCGGAUCGUAAAGCUCUGUUGUAAGAGAAGAACGAGUGUGAGAGUGGAAAGUUCACACUGUGACGGUAUCUUACCAGAAAGGGACGGCUAACUACGUG